rnacentral:rRNA from 1 species
AGAGCGAACGCUGGCGGCAGGCCUAACACAUGCAAGUCGAACGGAUCCUUCGGGAUUAGUGGCGGACGGGUGAGUAACACGUGGGAACGUGCCUUUUGGUUCGGAACAACUCAGGGAAACUUGAGCUAAUACCGGAUGUGCCCUUCGGGGGAAAGAUUUAUCGCCAUUAGAGCGGCCCGCGUCUGAUUAGCUAGUUGGUGAGGUAAAGGCUCACCAAGGCUACGAUCAGUAGCUGGUCUGAGAGGAUGAUCAGCCACAUUGGGACUGAGACACGGCCCAAACUCCUACGGGAGGCAGCAGUGGGGAAUCUGCGCAAUGGGCGAAAGCCUGACGCAGCCAUGCCGCGUGAAUGAUGAAGGUCUUAGGAUUGUAAAAUUCUUUCAGCAGGGACGAUAAUGACGGUACCUGCAGAAGAAGCCCCGGCUAACUUCGUGCCAGCAGCCGC